AAUUAUUAUACUUUUUUUUGUUUAAGAAUUGUAAAAAGGAAAAAAAAAUUAGAAAAAGGAAAUUAUUGUCAUAUCGAACUCGAUCGUGAACCCGGAUCGUUUUCCUUCAAUUGGAGGAAGAAGAUCGCACCACCAAGGAGCUGUUGGUGGUUAUUCUCCUCCUCUUCGCCGGAAUGUCACCGUGCUUCCAGAUAAA